rnacentral:misc_RNA from 1 species
CGCACAUUGCGCCCUUUGGUAUUCCGAGGGGCACGCCUGUUCGAGCGUCAUUUACACCGUCAAGCACCGCUUGGUAUUGGAUGGGGUCGUAGCGACCCAUCCGCAACUCGUUGGCGGUACUGUCCGGCUCUAAGCGUAGCAAGUCUUACCCUCGCUUCGGAGGCCGUGGCGGUGCCUGUCACCCAAUCUAGUACCCAAAGUUUGACCUCGGAUCAGGUGGGGAUACCCGCUGAACUUAA